CUCUGGGAUGUCUAGAUUGUAAGAUAGAAUAAUGUAUAUUUACUUAAUACUUUCUCUGUCUAUAGGAAUUGCAAUUUACUAUUCUUUCCUGGAUUCUACUGUGAAACUCUGAGGGAAGACUUUAGGGAAUAUCCUGCUUCUCGUGUCAACUGUGCCUCACUUCUACCACUGAAACCACAAUUCACUGACAGCAAUCGUCCUGCCAUUCUACACUUCAGGAAGAAAAGAGCCAGCUGGUAACCUUUCAUUGCCUGACAUCUACUACAGGGCAAACUGUAGAGAGUUGCUCUCUAAUUGACAUUGAAUCCCAAGCUCUGUGUAUUCUGUGUAUUCUUUCA
rnacentral:lncRNA from 1 species